rnacentral:rRNA from 1 species
GACGUAGGGCGCGAGCGUUUGUCCGGAUUUAUUGGGCGUAAAGAGCUCGUAGGCGGCUUGUCGCGUCGACUGUGAAAUCCCGCGGCUCAACCGCGGGUCUGCAGUCGAUACGGGCAGGCUAGAGUUCGGUAGGGGAGACUGGAAUUCCUGGUGUAGCGGUGAAAUGCGCAGAUAUCAGGAGGAACACCGGUGGCGAAGGCGGCUCACUGGCUCAUAUCUGACGCUCGAGGCGCGACAGCGUGGGAGUCAAACAGGA